GCAAGUCGACGAACUUCCGUUAAUUGAUUAUGACGUACUUGUACUGAUUGAGAUUUUAACACGAAGUGAGUGGCGAACGGGUGAGUAACACGUGGGUAACCUGCCCAGAAGUAGGGGAUAACACCUGGAAACAGAUGCUAAUACCGUAUAACAGAGAAAACCGCAUGGUUUUCUUUUAAAAGAUGGCUCUGCUAUCACUUCUGGAUGGACCCGCGGCGUAUUAGCUAGUUGGUGAGGUAAAGGCUCACCAAGGCAGUGAUACGUAGCCGACCUGAGAGGGUAAUCGGCCACAUUGGGACUGAGACACGGCCCAGACUCCUACGGGAGGCAGCAGUAGGGAAUCUUCCACAAUGGACGCAAGUCUGAUGGAGCAACGCCGCGUGAGUGAAGAAGGGUUUCGGCUCGUAAAGCUCUGUUGUUAAAGAAGAACGUGGGUAAGAGUAACUGUUUACCCAGUGACGGUAUUUAACCAGAAAGCCACGGCUAACUACGUGCCAGCAGCCGCGGUAAUACGUAGGUGGCAAGCGUUAUCCGGAUUUAUUGGGCGUAAAGCGAGCGCAGGCGGUCUUUUAAGUCUAAUGUGAAAGCCUUCGGCUCAACCGAAGAAGUGCAUUGGAAACUGGGAGACUUGAGUGCAGAAGAGGACAGUGGAACUCCAUGUGUAGCGGUGAAAUGCGUAGAUAUAUGGAAGAACACCAGUGGCGAAGGCGGCUGUCUGGUCUGCAACUGACGCUGAGGCUCGAAAGCAUG
rnacentral:rRNA from 1 species